CCGGUUCCUGCAGAAACAAAUUAAAGAGAACCACAAGCAAUUUGACUGCAGAAAUGAAAACGGCUUCUGGGGUGAUUAAAAACCAGGCCUCCAACCGGCAGCGCGGUUACUGUUUAACCACAGCCAGAAAAGUCUUUUUUCUAUAAAACCCGUCUCGUCUCUUUUUUCCUCUCUCGUGCCUCUGACGGGUUUCCUUCCUCUCCCAAAAUGUGUUUCCUUUCCACCCGUUUCUCCCACUUUCCCCAACACCUCGGCUCCUUCUUUCUGGCAGAGAGAGAGAGAGACAACAACAAAGACAACGAACGAAAGGGGAAGGGGAUGGAUUGCAGCCAUCGGCCAUGUUUCUUCGGCGGGAGUUGGCGGCUUGUGACAAGUCUCCCGACUCCCCUCUGGACCGGCCUGUCCCAAAGCAAAGCCUUCCACGGGUUGGGUUGCAACACGCAUCGUCCUCAGGCUGAAAGGACAUCAAUGUGAUUGACACAGGAAGAUGGGAGCCGUACUCCAACAGACCUGGAAAGUGCCAAGAAUCCCAUGGAAAUGGCUGAGAUGAUUUACCAAACUGGUGAUGCAAACCCAAAAACAGAGAGCAAAAGAACUGCUUUAUGUAGCAUCCCGCCAUUAAAUCUGCAUUUGCGUUUUAAACGCCUGCCUGUGCUUCUCUGAAUUCCGCAAAAUAAACAUGUUAAUAUCAUCGACGGAGGCGUUUUUAUGGCCCGCGAUAACGCUCACAAA